UAUCGAAUAAUUGAGGAAAGAGGUAGAGAGACUGUCGCUGGCCAGACUAGUCCAGCAUGUGCACGUCCCCCUUGCCUUCUUUCUUUAUCUACACACACACCUGUGCACCUUUCGUAGAUCUGUUCCCUCUCGAAAGAGUGGGAGGAAUCUAUGUCUUUAUCAUAUCACACAUGUCGUAUGGCCAGAAUGAAACAAUAUAUAAUAUAUACAACUUUCAGCAACGGAUCUCUUGGUUCUCGCAUCGAUGAAGAACGCAGCGAAUUGCGAUAAGUAAUGUGAAUUGCAGAUUUCCAGUGAAUCAUCGAAUCUUUGAACGCAUCUUGCGCUCCUUGGUAUUCCGAGGAGCAUGCCUGUUUGAGUGUCAUUUAAUUCUCAACCAUCUCUCUGUUUGAAGGGUAUGGAUUGGACUUGGGGGUUGCUGGUGGCCUGACCAUCAGCUCCUCUUAAAUGCAUUAGCGAUCGAGUUGGCUAGUCUUUUGAUGUGCACGGCCUUGGACGUGAUAAUGAUCGUCAUGGCUGGAGCGUCUUUCCUAGACUAUGUACAUAGAUGGCUUCCAAUAAAACAUGAAAGUAGGGGGCCAUGGGUCUGUCUGUCAAGCUUAGCUACUAGGCAGUCGAAAGGCUGGCAAACACAAGCAAGACAAAAGACAGAUCAUACCUUUCUUUCGACUUAAGAGACUUGACCUCAAAUCAGGUAGGACUACCCGCUGAACUUAAGCAUAUCAAUAAGCGGAGGAAAAGAAACUAACAAGGAUU
rnacentral:rRNA from 1 species